GUAAUUUAAUUAUAAUCUGCAGGAAAAUAAAUUAAAAUCAUUCUUAUUAUUUCAUGUUUUCCCUUUCUACUGUAGUAGAAACGAAGACGACUUACAGUGUGAGAAAUCUGAGAAUAAAAAAAUCUAAAAAAAAAAAAUAGAAUAUCAGCUAGAUGGGAUAAAUUUGAUCUAGUUUUGUGAAUAUUCCUGUUUGACAAAAAUAUGCAGUGAAAACAAAACCGUGAGUGAUCUUAUGCCUUGUUUAAUUUUCCAUAAUCGAGGUCAUGUGCAAAUUAAGUAAGGUAAUAAAAAUGUCAACAUCAAAGAAACGUUGAGAAAGAUAAAUUAACCUGGUCAUCUGGUCAUACUCACGGGUUAUUACAAGGUAUAUACGUGCGAAGUUAAGGAUAACAGUGAUAAUUAAGACUACUAGAAUUUGUCCUAAACGAAUCAAUUAACAACAAAAUGUUGAUGUUAAUUUGUUAAUUCAGAAACGCGAACGAAGACAUUACUCAAGGUAUAUGAAUAUUCAUUGAUUGAGGUGAUUUUAGGACAUCAAUAAAAAAAAAAAAACGCAAGUUAAAAAAAAAAAGUUUUAUAUAAUACAUAUUAAUAAUAACAAUUAACGGUACCAAUUUUUCUGCACCAGAUGCGCAUUUCGACAAUACAUGUCUCUUCAGUGAUGCUCGUGGCCAAAAUAUGUAAAAUCCAAAGCUUAAAUAAAAGAUGAAGAGCUAUAAUCCAAAAGUUCCAAAAAGUAUAGCCAAAUCCGUGAAAGGAAUCAGAGCUUUGCAUGAGGGAGAUACAUUCCUUAAUUUAUAAUAAUUUUCAAUAUUUUGUAACAGCAAAUUUAAUAACACAAAAAAAUCCGUAUUUUCAUGCUAGUACCGGAGUACUGGCUACUGGGC
rnacentral:lncRNA from 1 species